rnacentral:rRNA from 1 species
CAUUUUAUAAUUAAAGUCACAACGGUAAAAGAUGAGCAUGCGUCCCAUUAGCUAGUUGGUAAGGUAACGGCUUACCAAGGCUACGAUGGGUAGGGGUCCUGAGAGGGAGAUCCCCCACACUGGUACUGAGACACGGACCAGACUCCUACGGGAGGCAGCAGUGAGGAAUAUUGGACAAUGGGCGCAAGCCUGAUCCAGCCAUGCCGCGUGCAGGAUGACGGUCCUAUGGAUUGUAAACUGCUUUUAUACCAGAAGAAACACUGCUACGUGUAGCAGCUUGACGGUAUCGUAAGAAUAAGGAUCGGCUAACUCCGUGCCAGCAGCCGCGGUAAUACGGAGGAUCCAAGCGUUAUCCGGAAUCAUUGGGUUUAAAGGGUCCGUAGGCGGUUUAAUAAGUCAGUGGUGAAAGCCCAUCGCUCAACGGUGGAACGGCCAUUGAUACUGUUAGACUUGAAUUAUUAGGAAGUAACUAGAAUAUGUAGUGUAGCGGUGAAAUGCUUAGAGAUUACAUGGAAUACCAAUUGCGAAGGCAGGUUACUACUAAUGGAUUGACGCUGAUGGACGAAAGCGUGGGUAGCGAACAGGAUUAGAUACCCUGGUAGUCCACGCCGUAAAC